UAGACACGAUGGAAUUAGUCUAUCUAUCCAAACAAAUGUAUGAGUUCCGUUUUGGUGCUGCUAAUUGUGAGGCAGUAUCUCCGCACUUGGGAAACGAGUAUACGUAUCACAUGUACGAA
rnacentral:ribozyme from 1 species